AGUUUCACCAUUCACUAUGGAAUUAUUGAGUCUGUUUAGCUGAUUGAAGAGCUAGCAUCCGCAGCCAGUGGGUUCAUGACUUCUGUUUUGUUGGAUCUGCCGUUUUACGGCCGUGUGAAAACCAUUAAGCUCCCUGGUUCCUGGUCUUCUCCAUCCAACAAGGCAACCCUUUCAAACAAUGCAGAGCCACGGAGGAACACCACACAGCACAAGAUGGCGCUGCCUGCGAUGAGGUGGCGACUUGUCCAGGGUGUACCCCGCCUUCCGCCCGACUGUAGCUGAGAUAGGCGCCAGCGCCCCCCGCGACCCCAAAAGGGAAUAAGCGGAAGAAAAUGGAUGGAUGGAUGGCGCUGCUGUAGUGGCUGCUGUAGGCAGGAGCUCUGUGCUCUUGUAUCAUCCUUUUGUGUUUCCCUCUUGUUUUCAUGUGUUAUUAUAUUUUUUUGCCUUUUGGUUCGGGACCCUUUGGGACUGUGUGACAAGGGGUGGCACUUUCGUGACCUCUGUGGUGCUUUUUUUGUGGACUUCUGGAUCUGCCUCCUGGGAGCCUUUUAGCCAUGGAGACCAGCUGCUGGGUGUCUGCCACACCGGAGUCGGUUUGGAGGGACUGGAGGAGAUGUGGAUGAGGGGACAGGACUGCAGAGUUUGGAGGGACUGGAGGAGAUGCGGAUGAGGGGACAGGACUGCGGAGCUAGCACUGAGCGCUGGGACGGAGAGGCUUCGCGGUGUCUUGGCUGGGUGAUCAGGUGUCGGACACCUCAGUCACCUUGGACGUAUCCUCGCUCAUCGAUGCGGACUGGACACUGGCCGAGAGUGGAGUCGGCUGUCCUGGUUGCUUUGUUGGGUCUGGUCCUGUCUCUGGCCAUCCUCCCUUCACCCCAGCGGACGAUGGCGUGGAACACCGCAGAGGCCACCACAGUGGAUAUGUUUCUUUUACUCUUUAUUCAUAGCUGUAUGUAGAAGUGUCUGGUUGUAUCUGCUGCUUUAAUGUCUUUAAUGUCCUCUGUGUUCUUUGAUGUUUGAUGUUUCCCUCUUACACACAUGGAAGAGGGAUGUGUACUGUGUACUAUGAGUUUUGUUUUUUUUGUUUUUUUCCCUUGGGCU